ACGGUAAUGUUCCUUGGCAGGCAGUGGACGGUUCGGAAUGGGGAUGGAUUGAGCAACAAUAGAGUGUUUUCAUUGUCCUAGGGUGGUUUGGGCUGGAGCAUUGGAGCUCCGACGCUUGUGCCGCUGCGCCCCAAAGUUGUGAAAUGGCUUCUACUGGUAUUCCCUCUCUAUUCUUUCUUAUCAAUAUCUAUCAGGUUGCUGCUAUGUAU